AUGGAUGCUGACCUGGUCCCAGUAGUCUCUGCUGUGGGCGUCCGAGGCGGCCAGGCUGGCCCUGUCAGCGUCGGCCAGUGCAGGCAGGCAGAGAAUGUCCUCGGCCGGGGUGGCGUAGGUGCCGCUGAUACUUUCAAAGGGCGGCUGCAGGAGGUCAAUGAGGCUCUCCCAGCAGGUGAAGAGGUCUUCGCACGCAUCCAGGGGGCCACGCAGCUGCAGGUAGAAAGAGCGGCCUGUGGCGAACUUCAGGUGAAGCUGCUGUUUCUUGCGGUCGUGAACGGAGAUCUUAACAAACUUCAAGGGGAGGAGCCUGGUGAGCUCCAGGGGCUCCUCCGCCUUGCAUUUUUUCCUCUUGGGGGCCUGGCUGUGGCACUGUUCACAGCUGGUGGCCUGCCGGGCCAGGAGCACGACAUCGGGGAUCUGGGUCGGGAUCGGGAGGAUGGGGCUGGUGCAGGCCACGCCCAUGGUCAUCAAGUUCAUGUGGUUGUGCACAUCUAUGAGCUCCCCGCUCUUGGUGAUCUGGACAAAGUCGCUCUCAAACAUCAGGGUGGACCUGAACAUGUAGUACUCGCCCUUGUGCAAGUGCUGCUGCAGCUUCCCGAUGCUGGUGCCGAAGAUGGUGGCCACAAAGCCACUCUUGGCUGCGUAGCAGGGUAAUGGAGACUCACUGUUCGUGACCAUCUCCUGUCAUGACAGGGGCGCCAGCCAGGGGGGCCUGCAUCCUCUGCCUCGGUGUCCUGGGCAGAUAAAGAGUCCCUGGUGAUCCUGCGUCCCGAAGGUGACUACAGCAGGCCUCUCCUCCCCAGCCCAGCACAGCCCACAGGCCCCUCCCGGCCUCAGAGCCCCGGGAGGGCAGGCGGGGGUGGGGGGGGUGGCAGCAGGGAACACUGACCAGGGCCCGGGGAGGGUGUCUGGACCUCAGAUGGACUCUCUUCAGAGAUGAAAAAAACCCUCCAGGAGGUUUUCUUCUGGAUCAGCGUCCCUCACUUCCAGUCGCGAUACUGUUUCUCUCUCCAGGAGGCUACAGUCUGCAGUUGGAGAAAAGGCUGCAAACACCUUGGUCUGCAGCGCUGCACAGCUGUAUUUAUCCUCUCCUGCCUUUGUGACCUGUCCCUGUCACACACCCCUUUGUUUCCACGCCCUGUGACCUCACAAGGUCAGGACCCACCCCGUCAGGGACUCAGGCAGGCACCACAAUACUUUUAAAAAAAAAAAAAAAAAAAAAAAGGGAAAUUUUUGCAUGAACACUUCCCUGUCCACUCCAAAAUUGAAAGAUUCACCAACUGGCCAGGGACAUUAGCACAUUUCUGUAAUCCCGGUACUCUGGGAGGCUGAGGCAGGAGGAUCACAAGUUUGAGCCAGGACUGGACAACUUAGUGACUUAGCAAGACCUUGUCUCAAAAAAUCACGUUUUAAACAAAGGCCAAUAUGUAGCUCAGUGUAAAGUCUGGGGUUCUAUUCUUAGAACAAAAGAAAAAAGAUUCAACAACUACACAAAGUAUAAAAAUGUAAGACGAUGGGGUAGAUUUUAACCAUCAUGGUUUAAUUUUAUGAGAUAACCUAGAAUUGGUAGUCUUGCUCCUUAGCCUACCAUGGAUCUCAGUAAAUCUAGGUGACUGUGAGCUUUAACAAUAAUUCUGACCUUCAAUAAUUAAUAUUUAAAUUAAUAAUUAAGGGUUGCUUUUCCCAGGCACUGUACUGUGUAGUUUUAAUGCUAUUGUGAGAACCUACUGAGUUUGAUACUGUUGUUACUGUUCUCAUUUUACAGGUAAACAAACUGAGGUUGUAUCAUUUACCUGCAUUCACAAAUUAAUGCUAUUUUGCAAAUCCAGGUCCAGCUGAUCCAAGACCUCUGUUCUAGACUGCUGCAGUACUGUCUUGCUAGGAGCUUGGGCCCGUUAAAUGUGUUUGAAGAGAAUUGAUUUGAUUGCCGAAAGAGCAGUUUGGUGCAUUAUGAGAAGUUGCAUAACAAAGUGUGAGAGUGUGUGUGUGUGUGUGUGUGUGUGUGUGUGUAAUGGAGAACCCAGGAACACUUCUGACUUUGAGUUGGGGAUUCAAUUACCCAGUGGGUGCCUUCAGUUCCUCCGCUCCAUGUGUACCCAGCAUGUAGGAGCCCAGUUAUUCUCUUAAGGCUCCCAUUUUUUGCUCCCUGUUUUCCCAUCUUCUACUCAGUGAAAUACUGGGCUGUGGGAGCAGGACUGGAGGUGUAAGUUUAAAUUCCAGGAUCUUGUCAAACACCCUCUGGUCAUAACUUCCCUGCCAUGCCCCAGUGGUUUGGAGCCAUGUACACUGGCGCGGAGCAUGUGCCAUUACGGCUGGUGCUUUGAUGCCAUGGCACUCAGUGAGCCACAGAAUAAUGAAAGCUGGGAGAAGGUCCUGCUCCCGACUCACUUCUCAGGACUGUUAUGCCUGAAGCCCCACCUCUUGUCACUACUUGAGGACAAAGGCUCUCUCUCUUCCCUGGAUGGAUGGACACACAGGAUGUAGAGUAUGCAUUUGCUGCAGCGUUAUUCAGCUGGAAGCAGGAACAGAGUGCUGGUGUAAGCUUCCACUCGGAUGCACCUUCACCGCAUGCUAAGGGAAAGACACCAAACACAAAAGGCUGCAGAUUGUAUGGUUCUGUGUCUAUGGGGUGCUCAGGACAGCCAAGUGGCAGCCAGGGGCUGGAGGAGGAGACAGGGGUGACUGCCCAGGGGCUGUUUAUGGUUAAAAAAUAGGCUUCUGUUAUAGAAAGUUCAACUGUGUGACCUUGAGCAGGCUGCUGAUCUCUCUCUCCACUUACUCUCCUGCAGGAUGGGGGUAACGGCUGUGGUGAGCACUGAAUGGGAUGCCAGUUUGGAUCUGGAGUGUUUCUUGAAGGCCUGUGUCACAGGCUUAGUCCCAGCAUGGGGCUGUUGGGAGGUGGGGGGACCCUUGGGAGGUGACACUCCGAGCAAAGUGCUUAGGUUACUGGGGGGG
rnacentral:lncRNA from 1 species